rnacentral:rRNA from 1 species
AGAGUGAACGCUGGCGGCAGGCCUAACACAUGCAAGUCGAACGGCAGCACAGGGGAGCUUGCUCCCUGGGUGGCGAGUGGCGGACGGGUGAGGAAAACGUCGGAAUCUGCCUAUUUGUGGGGGAUAACGUAGGGAAACUUACGCUAAUACCGCAUACGCCCUUCGGGGGAAAGCCGGGGAUCGCAAGACCUGGCGCGGAUAGAUGAGCCGAUGUCGGAUUAGCUAGUUGGUGAGGUAAUGGCUCACCAAGGCGACGAUCCGUAGCUGGUCUGAGAGGAUGAUCAGCCACACUGGAACUGAGACACGGUCCAGACUCCUACGGGAGGCAGCAGUGGGGAAUAUUGGACAAUGGGCGCAAGCCUGAUCCAGCCAUACCGCGUGGGUGAAGAAGGCCUUCGGUUGUAAAGCCCGUUUUGUUGGGAAAGAAAGCAAUCGGUUAAUACCGGUUGUUCUGACGGUACCCAAAGAAUAAGCACCGGACUAACUUCGUAGCCAGCAGCCGACGUAAU